rnacentral:rRNA from 1 species
GAUGAACGCUGGCGGCGUGCCUAACACAUGCCAGUCGAGCGAACGGACGAGAAGCUUGCUUCUCUGAUGUUAGCGGCGGACGGGUGAGUAACACGUGGAUAACCUACCUAUAAGACUGGGAUAACUUCGGGAAACCGGAGCUAAUACCGGAUAAUAUUUUGAACCGCAUGGUUCAAAAGUGAAAGACGGUCUUGCUGUCACUUAUAGAUGGAUCCGCGCUGCAUUAGCUAGUUGGUAAGGUAACGGCUUACCAAGGCAACGAUGCAUAGCCGACCUGAGAGGGUGAUCGGCCACACUGGAACUGAGACACGGUCCAGACUCCUACGGGAGGCAGCAGUAGGGAAUCUUCCGCAAUGGGCGAAAGCCUGACGGAGCAACGCCGCGUGAGUGAUGAAGGUCUUCGGAUCGUAAAACUCUGUUAUUAGGGAAGAACAUAUGUGUAAGUAACUGUGCACAUCUUGACGGUACCUAAUCAGAAAGCCACGGCUAACUACGUG